rnacentral:rRNA from 1 species
GGUGCGUAACGCGUAUGCAAUCUGCCUUGUACAGAGGGAUAGCCCAGAGAAAUUUGGAUUAAUACCUCAUAGUAUUAUUGAAUGGCAUCAUUUAAUAAUUAAAGUUCCAACGGUACAAGAUGAGCAUGCGUCCUAUUAGCUAGUUGGUGUGGUAACGGCAUACCAAGGCUACGAUAGGUAGGGGUCCUGAGAGGGAGAUCCCCCACACUGGUACUGAGACACGGACCAGACUCCUACGGGAGGCAGCAGUGAGGAAUAUUGGACAAUGGGCGCAAGCCUGAUCCAGCCAUGCCGCGUGCAGGAAGACGCAUCUAUGGUGUGUAAACUGCUUUUGUACGGGAAGAAACACUCCCUCGUGAGGGAGCUUGACGGUACCGUAAGAAUAAGGAUCGGCUAA